GCAUUAGUGGUGUAAUGGUUAACAUGUGGUCUUCCCAUACUGCGAAAAUUUCAUUCCAUGGCCGCAUUCGGGGUUCGAUUCCCAGCUAAUGCA